rnacentral:rRNA from 1 species
AUGGGAAAAGCUCAAAUUUGAAAUCUGGCAGUUUAUACUGUCCGAAUUGUAAUCUAGAGAAGUGCUUACCUGUGCUGGACCAUGUAUAAGUCUUCUGGAAUGAAGUAUCACAGAGGGUGAGAAUCCCGUCUUUGACAUGGACUACCUGUGCUUUAUGGUACGCUCUCAAAGAGUCGAGUUGUUUGGGAUUGCAGCUCAAAAUGGGUGGUAAAUGCCAUCUAAAGCUAAAUAUUGGCGAGAGACCGAUAGCGAACAAGUACCGUGAGGGAAAGAUGAAAAGAACUUUGGAAAGAGAGUUAAACAGUACGUGAAAUUGCUGAAAGGGAAACGCUUGAAGUCAGUCACAUUGGCUGGAAAUCAACCUUGCUUUUGCUUGGUGUACUUUCUGGUUGAUGGGUCAGCAUCAAUUUUGACUGCUGGAUAAAGUCUUUGGGAAUGUGGCAUCUUCAGAUGUGUUAUAGCCCAUUGUCGCAUACAGUAGUUGGGAUUGAGGAACUCAGCAUGCCUUUUAUUAGGUUGGGUUUUUUAUAACCACACUUCAUGCUUAGGAUGCUGGCAUAAUGGCUUUAAUCGACCCGUCUUGAAACACGGACCAAGGAGUCUAACAUGCAUGCAAGUGUUUUGAGUGGUAAACUCAUGCGCGUAAUGAAAGUGAAAAGUUGAGAUCCCUUCAAAAGAGGAGAGCAUUGACGCCCACACCAGAUCUUUUGUGACGGAUCUGCGGUAGAGCAUGUGUGUUGGGACCCGAAAGAUGGUGAACUAUG